rnacentral:misc_RNA from 1 species
UUUCCGUAGGUGAACCUGCGGAAGGAUCACUAAAGAGAACUUGCCCUUCGGGGUAGAUCUCCCACCCUUUGUUUAUUAUACUUUGUUGCUUUGGCGGGCCUGCCUCACGGCUGCCGGCGUAAGCUGGCUCGCGCCCGCCAGAGACCCCUAAACUCUGAAUAUUGUCGUCUGAGUAAUAUAUAAUAAGUUAAAACUUUCAACAACGGGUCUCUUGGUUCUGACAUCGAUGAAGAACGCAGC